CAGAGCCAAAUGCCACCCCCCCGGGAAACGGCUGCCCCAAGCGCCUGCUUGGCGCGCUGGUGUCUAGAGCCGCCCCUAAGCGCAGAGGGGGAACUAGACAGGGGGCCCUCUUGGGGGAGCCAGGCCAGAAGGGAACUAGACAGCCCCCCCCCAACAGGGACCCCAUGGGGCGGUGGGGGGAGCCAGCUGGCCCUCCCCCCAAGACAGGGAGUCCUAUGGGGCGGGGAAGAGAAUUAGAUGGCUCUCCCCCUAAGUCAGGGAGACCUAUAGGCAGGGGAACCCGACAGGUCAGCUGGACAGGGAACAUGAUGCUUCCCAGGCUGUGAGGUACCUCACUAUCUGCCAUGGCAACACAAGCCUGGCCCUCUAGGCCUCCUCAGCACCCCUGUCUCUGCAGAUUAGCGUGCAUCCUCCAAGCAUCUCCCUGGAGGGUCCAGUCCCUGGUCUCUCACAGGAUUCCCAGCUCUGCUGUUCCCAAAGGAACUAUUCUCUAACUUAGUCCGACUCCCACCUCAGAUCAGCGCUCGGCUUCACACACAGCACUUAGACAUGUUUACAGUGAAAUGCCCAUCUCCACUGAAGAAGAGCUACAUGCCACCUUUGAAGCUUUCAAAACCAUUUGAGCAUAUGGUUGGGGUUCUUCAUUCCCAUCUACCACAAACAUACAUGGAUUUUGUUCUGAUUUACCAAACCUCCCUGGAGGUGCGACUAAGUGUAAAUUCAGAGCCCCAGAGAAUAUUAUGACAGAUAUCCCAGGUCAAGUGCACAUUCAAGAGAGCAGAAAUUCUGGUAAGAGGAACCUACUGAUGAAAUGUGAAAUCAGUUGCUUCAAAGACUGAGCUUGCCUGGGUCUAAUACCUGCAGCCAUGGACUACUGACCAGCAAACCAGACCCUCCUUUGAAUGAGAUGCUGUGGCCAGGUAGCAGUAGUGAGUGCAAACAGAGGAGCUGGUCAUGAAGGAAGGGUGACUGGAGCCUACUCUGCUCAGGAUUCUCCAUCAGAGGGGCACAGAUUGCAGAGUCACUUGAAGGACUGGAGUCUUACAGAUGUACCGGAGGCUCCUCAGUCAUGGUGAUCAAAAGUAAGUUUAGGGGGCUAAAGAUAGUGAUGAGGAUUAAGCCUUCUUCCACUCUGGCAGAGCUCCAAACCACCACAGCAUGUACAGUGAUUCCCCAUCCCUUAGUGCACAACAGAAAUUCUUCUGGCAAUUGCUCAGAUUUCACUUUUGCUGCAACAGCUCUGUUGUGUUGCAGUAAGAGAAACUGGAUUUCAGCAGGGCUAACUUGGUAGUGACUUUUUGUUUCUCUGAAGUCAGCUGCCUAUUGCCUGCUGCCAACUUCUAGCCACAGAAGUCAAACGCCCUAUCAUUUGAAGAGUCUGUAUUUCAGGCUGCAGAAAAUAGACAUCCUCAUUUCCGAAAGGUCACGCCAGUGCUAGUACAAAAAUGUUCUCAGUAAACAGUGAAAAGCCCCAACGUAUUUUUUUUCUUUCAACAUCAAAACAAGUCUAUCCACACAAGCUCAAGUUUCAGCAUUGCUCAGCUUCCCUGCCCUCUGCAGUGGGAUGGGGUAAAGGGCAAGUCAUCCCAACACCUCACCCCCCAAGCCAGAUGCAGUUGCAAUAUGCACCAUUUUACCAGCCAAUUGGGGAAGUUGAGUUUUCAGAAAUAUGUUGUGGCUUUUGAGAAAAGUACUAACUGACAAACUCCCCAGCAAUUUCAUUCCUGCUUCAACCAAGGAGCGUGCCCGGCCGACACUCCUGCCCCAUCUUUGAGGCCAGAGGCAAUUGGGUCAAUUAUUUCAAACUCCCACUAAAUUAGAGUGAACCCUAUCAAUUAUACUGUUCCUUCCCUUCCCCAUUCCUUGCACCAUCCAAUCAAAACUACCAUGAGGAAUGCUGUGCUUAUGGCAUUGCUCAUACUGCAAUGCUCCAGAAGGCUCAUCUCACAGACUGAGAAAUAAGCGAUGGGGUAGAAUAUUUAAAUUGGGAAAUAGCUUCAAUUUCUUGCAUUUCAAGAUAUGCCAUCCCCCUCCCUCAGCACUGGAGGGCACCCAUUUCCUUCCCCUGUCAGAGUUGGCCCCUUUGAACUCCAAGUGAAAGCAAAGCUAAGGACUCAAUGAGCCUCAGAAACUAAGAUCUAGGGCUGUGCACUAGUCCAGCUAUUCAUAUUCUGAGAUUAUUCAGUCAUGUGACUGUAUGGAUUAUUUCAGGUAUGCAACUAAGAACUCAUCACUGCUAUUGUAAUUCUGAUUUACUAAAGGGCAAAAGCAAUUCCCAAUAAGAAUUCCCCAGGAAACACAAUUUAAAAAACCCACCUGUUUAAUAUUUGUAAAGUACUCUGGGAUCCUGGGAUGAAAAAUGUCAAGUGCAAAAUCCUCUUGUUAUAGUGGAUGAAUAUUUUUAGAAAGUUUGAGUGGCCAUUUUAUGAGUGGGGGGAUAUAUGCAUUUUCUGUUGUGAAAACAAUCUUUAUGAUUAAAAAAUCAUAGCGAUAGCAAAAUGGCUGAAGUCUACAAGUAAGCAGUUGGGCAUGGAAGUAGUCAUCAUAGCCUCGGUCUGGAGAAAAUUGGUUUCAAUUUGACAAAGCAGAGUGUUUGAAAAGUCAAGUCAAGCAUGCACAUCUUGCAUGAUAAUGGUGAGUAAGGAUCUGAGCCAGCUCCCAUUCAAGUCAAAACAAACACCUGUAAGAGUAAAGCAUUGUCCAUACAUCCACUCUGCAGGUGAACAGACAGACGUACGGAGAACUAAAACACGUAGACAGGAUGACUUUCUGCACACCACAGGGCAAUUCACUAGCAGUGUAAAACAGCGUAAUGCUUAGUUAGGAAAUGGUACACUCGGUACAAUGCCACUCAAAGCUUGUCUACAGCAGGACAGUCAGGAAAGUUGAGAUGAAUCAAAUAAAGCUGACAAAGUGGGUAUUCACCCACGAAAGCUUAUGCUCCAAUACAUCUGUUAGUCUAUAAGGUGCCACAGGACUCCUUGUCACUUUUUACAGAUCCAGACUAACACAGCUACCCCUCUGAUACAAAUAAAGCUGUGAAGCUAAUGUGCAUUAAAUCCUUGUCAAGAUUCUCUCGUUCAUAAGUAAAGUGGAUUUAGCUGGUUGUAGCUUAAUCCUCCUAUGACGAAGUGAGGGGUUUUCUUGGUUUUUCUGUGUUUUCCAGUGGGUUGCAUGCAGAGGGAGGGGGACUCAGUGUCCCCGGGUGUUACUGGUUUAACGAGGUGAGGGGAGAGGGAGUUUGUUGUUACAGAGGA